AAUGCUAAUACUGUUGCAGAAGAUUUUGAUGUUAACUUCCAGCAUCAGAAAUCUCAACAGGUUGAACAACAACAAGAAGGUGCUCACGAAAAGAAUUUCUGGGGUGCUGCUAGUUUGAUUAUUGGCACAGCAGUUGGGCCAGGAAUGCUGAGUUUGCCUGCUGACCAUUAAAUCAGGUUCAUUUCCCUCCACCGUUGUCAUUCUCCUCUCAUGGCUCUAUGUGGUCUCCUCAAUCAUUCUUGUUGCCGAACUCAGCUUUGCAGCCAUGGAAGAAGAUGGGGUUGAAGAGGUGAGCUUUACUAGUCUUGCAACAAAGACUUUAGGAAGCUGUUUCGGUACUUCUGUUGCAAUUGUCUAUGCCUCCUUGAGUUUUUCAUAGUUAGUAGCUUGUGUUUCGGGUAUUGGUUCACUUGUCUCUCAGUGGUUUCCAUGUAUGAAUUUUGUGAUGGCUCAUGCCUUGUUUCCUCUAGCUGUUGGAACUAUAAUUCUUUUCUUUCCCUUUAAGGCCAUCGAUGCUGCAAAUCGUUUUUUAUGUGUCAUCAUGCUUUUUUCCAUUACUGCACUUGUGGCUGUAGGUUUAUCUGUAGCUAGAAAGGACUUAUCACGUUCCUUUGGUUAUGCUUCGUGGGGGUUCUCGUCAAUUUUGCCUGCUAUACCUGUUACUGUACUCACAUUGGGGUUUCAUGUUGCCACUCCUUUCAUAUGUAAGAUUGCUGGGAACACUGUAAAGGAGGUUCGCAACACUAUACUAGUUGGUGGGGCUGUUCCAUUAGUCAUGGUUUUGUCCUGGAAUUUGAUUGUUUUGGGACUUGCUGGGACCAACAGAGCAGACCCAAUAACCCUUUUGCUUUCUGUUAACCCCUCUGCUUUACCUGCAGUUCAAGGCUUUGCCUUCACUGCCUUGGCGACUAGUUUGAUUGGAUAUGCUGUAAGCUUCCCAAAACAGCUUAUUGAUACCUUGGAGUUGAUUUUUGGGAAAGUCAAUUCAGGAAAACUGAUUAGCUCUAACUCACAGAUGGGUUCUAAUGCGGAUGGAAUUGGGAGAGUUGGUAUUGUUGUUUAUUCAGGAAGGCCUAACCUUGGAAAUGUAGGGAAUGUUUCUUAUAUAGGUUCAGGUUUUAUUGCUGCAUCAGAAGCUAAAUUGAAACCAAGAAUGAUUGGAUUUGAUUCAUUCAAGAUCUUCGAGAUGAUAAUUGUACUUGGUGCUCCAGUUCUUAUAGCAUCUUUCUUCCGUUCCACAUUUACAAGAGCUCUUGAUUUUGCAGGGGUUUAUGCUAACUGUUUUCUGUUUGGCAUACUCCCUCCUGUAAUGGCUUACAUACAGCAAUCUAGGAAAAAACUCAGGUCAUCUACCUUGCUAGGGGGAGAUGGUACACUUAUUUUACUUUUCAGCAUUGCUGUCAUUUUGGGAUUUGGCAUUACAAGACCCCCUGCUAGAUUAACAGCAGUAUAAUGCCUUCACAACAGACCAAAGGCAAGAGGAAGAAGAUAUUCUUCUAUCUAUAUUGUUAAAAUUUGUAUUCAACAAGAUUUAAGAGACUCAUUGUACCCUUCACGCCUUUUCCAGGCACCAUUGCUUCACAGGUACUUACCCAAAAAGUUCAUGUUUCUCAGGGAAUAGUUCUAUUUCAAUUCAUAGUGUGAGGAAUUCAAUUUAAAGUCCUCCAAAUUAACUGUUCCAAAUAGCAAGCAAGUAGAAUAUGCUGAACUUGCAAUAGGAUAAAAACAUUGUGCAACUUGAACUUAACCUAGUGAGUGCCUAAGUCAUUGAAA